ACCAAAGCUCCGAUUUUUUGACGAGCGCAUCUAUUAGAUUAAAACCAAUCGGGUUUCGGCCCGUCAAUUGGUGACUCUGAAUAACUAUGGCUGAUCGCAUGGUCUUGAACCGGCGACGUGUCUAUCAAGUGUCUGCCUUAUCAACUGUCGAUGGUAGUUUAUGUGCCUACCAUGGUUGUAACGGGUAACGGAGAAUAAGGGUUCGACUCCGGAGAGGGAGCCUGAGAAACGGCUACCACAUCCAAGGAAGGCAGCAGGCGCGCAAAUUACCCACUCUCGGCAUGAGGAGGUAGUGACGAAAAAUAACGAGACCGUUCUCUCUGAGGCCGGUUAUCGGAAUGGGUACAAUUUAAACCCGUUAACGAGGAUCUAUGAGAGGGCAAGUCUGGUGCCAGCAGCCGCGGUAAUUCCAGCUCUCAAAGUGUAUAUCGUCAUUGCUGCGGUUAAAAAGCUCGUAGUUGGAUCUGCGCCUCAGGACUUGGUCCGCCCACUGGGCGAGAACUGGGCUCCUGGGCUAGUACUGCUGGUUUUCCCUACGUUGCCUUCAUCGGUCGCGUAGGGUGGCUAGCGAGUUUACUUUGAAAAAAUUAGAGUGCUUCACGCGGGCUUAUGUCUGAAUACUCGUGCAUGGAAUAAUAGAAUAGGAUCUCGGUUCUAUUUUGUUGGUUUUCUGAUCUGAGAUAAUGGUUAAGAGGGACGGACGGGGGCAUUCGUAUCGCUGCGUGAGAGGUGAAAUUCUUGGACCGUAGCGAGACGUCCGACUGCGAAAGCAUUUGCCAAGAAUGUCUUCAUUAAUCAAGAACGAAAGUCA
rnacentral:rRNA from 1 species